ACUGCUUAAACCCUGAACCUUCCUUCCUCCAAAACAACAGCAUCCAGAUAUUACACUCUCACACAAGUCUGUUGGGCGAGUCCUAGAAAAGUUCAGGCUGCAGUGGAUGAAAACAGCCUGCUUUUUCCGGAGGAGACGAAACAUCAACGGCUGAGCACCGAGGAUGGAGAGAAGAGGUGAAGAUGAGGGGAGGAAAACAAAAGGGAGAACAGAGAGGAGUUGGGGCGGAGGCAGAAAGAGAAAUCAGAAGAGACAAGGUUCACUGGAGCUGGCAGCUUGGCUCUUGAUCUCUUCCUCCUGCUGCUGCUGCUCCUCCUCCUUCUUCUGUGGAGGGCUGGAAUCAACGCUGGAGGGUUUCGGCGGGCUCUCGCCUCCCAUGCUGCUUCUGGG